CUGGUUGAAUUACCCCCGUUUAGAACUGGGCUAAUCAGAAAACAGCGGAAGACCACCAAACCCCCACUUCUAUAAGCCUGCUACAGAGGCUAUGUCAGAAUACUUCUGAAGGGGGGUGCACAAUAUAUAAUGAUGUACAAAAUUUGUUAUCUCAACACAAUGUCCUAUACCAACCACAUUUCAAAUAGUGUAUUGAGAGGAAGCUCCAUUUAGGUUGGUUUUACCAACCCACUGUAACCUCCUUAGUUUUACAGCAUGAAAUUCACAUCUGUAAACACUUGUAGUAACAUUAGGCAUGACAAAUUGUCUAGCGUGAUAUAGCCAGCUGCUGCGCUGAAAAAAAAUACUAUUACAGUAACUGAUACAGAGAUACAUUGGUCCUUAACAGCUAUUGCUGAAUGGAAGGAUAACUGUGAAAACAUUUAACAAGAAAACAAAUCCUGCACCCCCUGAGACUAAUGGUACAUUCUCCAUGAAGGCCACCUCACCAACUGUGCAUACUAAAGUGUAUAUCUGUAAAUAUGUGCAAAUCAGCCUAUUUUGCAAGCAGGUAUUACCAUAGACAUUGUUGAUAGUUGAAGAGAUAUGCCUACUCACUGGUGAACGCUGUAUGAUUAUGAUGUACUAGAUGGAAAUGGUUGAACUGUAUGCCCUAUACACAUGUAGGAUACUCUGAAUAAUAUGUAAGCAGAUUGGUCAGGUUUUUUUUUGUAGAGUCAGCAAAAGUGACGUAUAUCAUCAUGUGUAUUACUUAGGAAGAGAAGUUGAACAUAUUCUGGACCCUAAUUUAGCUUUUGCACUACCCAAUUCUGUAACAUUAUUUUUCAAAGAUGUAAAAUUAAAUAAGCAUGCAACCCUGUCAUGUAGAUUUUUUGUUCAUGUUUGAUUCAAAGUUCUAUUUUUGGUUGUGAUUGAUGAUUAUGUGAUGAAAUUUAAAGACUUAGAAAUUGAUAAUUUCUUACAAAAAAAAUCAACGCUGUGAUAGAUUGAAGGUCCCCAAAGUUUAAAGUGAAAAAAUAUUACGUUUGAUCGUCCCAACUAUGAUAGAUAUAAUAAUGAUGGAAAGUAUGAUUAUUUGCCUGUACCGUGUGGGUCUUAGUUAUGAUUUGUUUUCAACUGUCUUGUUCAUCAAUGUUUUGGAAAAGAAAUCUUUUAUUGUUGAACAGAAAUUAUGAGGCCUUCGAUGUGUUUCUGCCUUCCAUGCAGUAUUUCUGUUCUUUAUAGAAUCAUUACUGGAAAAAUCAUCAGACUGGUACAAUGGCUUUUGUAUGUAACAGUUUGAAAGACAUUUAGAUGUCUUCAUACAUGUACAAAUGCUUGAACGUAGACAGAAAACUUGUUCUAUAGGUAGAGCUGAGUACCUAAACAAACUAAGGACUGCCUUUCCACUGACCAUAUAUUGUAACAGCUCCGGAGUUAGGAGCACAUGCAUGUGUCAGAUGUGGUAUGUAAUGGGUGGCAGGCAAAGAAGGCUACCAUAUUGUAUUACAGACAGGUGUUUCUUUGUUAAAAGUUGGUUUGUGGCUUACAUCAUACAUAUAUACAGACGACAAAGAGUUAUGUUAUUUUCCAUAUUCCUGUUAGCCAUCAAUAAAAGUAUCAAAACACUC